AGGGCCGCCCCCCUAGGCUGGGCGCUCGCGGGGGCCGGGGUGGGGUAUACCUGGGCGGCGGCCGGUGGGGUAAGGGGGGGACAUCUACGGGGUCACCGGAAUAACACUUCGAAAGGGGGCUUUACCGGAUGAGGUCAGAAGCGGCUUCUUUUCUUGAAGAAAAGAACUCGUAAUAGAAUGAGUCCUCCUCCCAUUCUUAGGUGGGGGGUUAACCCCCCAGAGCAAAAUGGAAGCCUGCCAGAGGGGUGAAGGCCACCUGAACUGACACUCGGUCCACAUUCCUUCGGGAGGCAUCAGUGGGGAAUUUUGUGCUGUGAAACAAACCCUGACACACCGACCCCGCGUGAAGAAAGAGGCCUUUGGUAUCGUUCAGCUCAAUAUUAUGGGAAAAAUUAAAUGACCUUACCAUACAAACGCCCCGGUUAAUUACUUGCCACCCCCCACGCUAUAACCUAGGGGGUUAGCGUUUUUCGGAAUUUCUGGGGGUUAAAAACGCGUAGGCGGGUUAAAUUUCAAUUGAAAAACCUGGGCUCAGCCAGGGUUUGGCAUUUAAAACUAAAUAUCUUUGGUCAAAGAAAGAAAGCAAGAGUUCCUUGGGUGUAACGGCGAAAAAGUCUAAAAAGUAAAAAAAGAAAAACCAAUUGGGUAUAGUGGGUUUUUGGUGAUUAUCAUGCGCUAAAUGUGGAGAACCAGGGGGGUAACAUGCUUGGAUAUCUCGUCGUUUCUUCCCUCCCAACCAGGAGACAAGAGGGGGGGAUGAGACAAGCGCAUUGACUUAAUAUGUAUAUCUAGGUCGGGAUGCUUAGUACAUACGUAUGAAGCAAAUGGAGUCGACGUGAUUUUCAAGUUGGGGAGUUUUGUGUGUGUCUCGAGUGUUGCGCACGUGU
rnacentral:rRNA from 1 species